UACGUAGGGUGCGAGCGUUAAUCGGAAUUACUGGGCGUAAAGCGUGCGCAGGCGGUUUUGUAAGCCAGAUGUGAAAUCCCCGGGCUUAACCUGGGAAUGGCAUUUGGGACUGCAAGGCUUGAGUGCGGCAGAGGAGACUGGAAUUCCUGGUGUAGCAGUGAAAUGCGUAGAUAUCAGGAGGAACACCGAUGGCGAAGGCAGGUCUCUGGGCUGACACUGAC
rnacentral:rRNA from 1 species